AUUGAACGCUGGCGGCAUGCUUUACACAUGCAAGUCGAACGGUAACAGGCCUUCGGGUGCUGACGAGUGGCGAACGGGUGAGUAAUGCAUCGGAACGUGCCCAGAGGUGGGGGAUAACGCAGCGAAAGCUGUGCUAAUACCGCAUGUGAUCUGAGGAUGAAAGCGGGGGACCAGGCAGCAAUGUUUGGCCUCGCGCCUUUGGAGCGGCCGAUGUCAGAUUAGGUAGUUGGUGGGGUAAAGGCCUACCAAGCCGACGAUCUGUAGCUGGUCUGAGAGGACGACCAGCCACACUGGGACUGAGACACGGCCCAGACUCCUACGGGAGGCAGCAGUGGGGAAUUUUGGACAAUGGGCGCAAGCCUGAUCCAGCAAUGCCGCGUGCGGGAAGAAGGCCUUAGGGUUGUAAAGCUCUUUUACCCGGGAUGAUAAUGACAGUACCGGGAGAAUAAGCUCCGGCUAACUCCGUG
rnacentral:rRNA from 1 species